rnacentral:tRNA from 1 species
UCCCAGGUAGCUCAGGGGUAGAGCAGGUGGCUGUUAACCACCUUGUCGGGGGUUCAAAUCCCUCCCUGGGAGCCA